CCGCACGAAACCAGUCAUUCUCCUCCUCACCCACGUCUCCCUCCUUCUCUCUGUCAGAGAGGAAGACGCUCCAGGAGAGAUUAGGCCGCAGGAGUAGUAGCGGUGACCGACAGGCUCAUGGAGGAGCAGCAGCGGCCAAUGGCGGCAGACCAGAUCAGCGCGCCGCGGGAGGGGAUGGGGCAGCUCUCAUGGGCCAAGCAGAGCAGAGUCGGCGGGCCAUGCCAGGACCAGCGUGAUAGGUCGCGGGCGAAGAGGGGCCAGGGCGGCGAAGACACCCCAGGAAAGGUGCCGCCGGCCACGACCUUUUUCCUCCUUGCCCUUGUUUUCUCCUUCCCGUCUAGGGUUAUCGCCGCCGCCGCCGCCAUCGUCCCCAUCCUUGCUCGCGGCCUCGGUCUCUGCGUCUCUAAUCGUCCCAAGAUCCCAAACCCGUCGUCGUCUUCUACUUCCCUCUCUUAUUCCCCUAUGCCCCGGCAAGGUGUGCCAAUCCAGCGCACACGGCAAAGUACAUCAGCAUCCAGUAUACCCCUUGACACGGCCAAGGUCAGGCUACAACUGCAGAAGAGGGUCGUCGCCAGGGAUCUCGCUGGGCCCAAGUACCGUGGCCUGCUCGGCACCGCCGCCACCAUCGCCAAGGAGGAAGGCGCCGCCGCACUCUGGAAGGGCAUCGGCCCUGGCCUCCAUCGCCGGUGCAUCUACGACGGUCGCUAUGAGCCCGUCAAAUCCUUCUAUGUUGGUGCCAUGUUGGGGAUGUACCUUUGUCCAAGAAGAUAGCCGUUGGCUUCACCACUGGUACCCUCAUCGCUGUAUUCUCAAACAAUUUUCCGUUCCAUGUGAAAUGAAAUAUGCAGCAACAUAAGAUGGUUUGGCUGACCUGCAUUAGGUGCCCUUAUAAUCUCUGUGGCCAACCCCAUUGACCUUGUCAAAGUCAGGCUUCAGUCCGAGGGGAAGAUGGCACCUGGUGUGUCGCGCUGUUAUACUGGGGCAAUGUAUGCGCCAAGACUGUUAGGCAGGUCUAUUGUUUCUGCUCUUGUUCUGCAAACUAAUUGUGGAUUGUUACAUUUCCCGAAUUGCUUGCUUCAAAUAUGUCGGUAUCAUCUUUAGGAAGGGGUUGAUUUCAGGAUCAAGUGAAGGUGGAGCAUGGCUAGCUUGCUUGUUUAGCACAGUAAUGUAUUCUUUGAUUUUUUUUAUGCAGUUUAUCUUUUGGGUCAACUCUUUAUUAUUAAAGGAAAAUCGAAGGUCGUGAUGGUUCGACCUCCUACUAUCGCUAUCGAGACAUCCCUUCCCACCUCUGAUUCUUUUCCCAUAGAGAUGACCUCUCCCACUUCCGUUUUGAUUUGGUUCCACCCAGUUACCCACCCACGCACCCCUCCCACGAUCCUCCCGACGUUCCCCAUGAUUUCCCCACGCAGCCUCCUCUUGGAGAGUCGCUCCUAGCGCAACGAGCGGCACUGCUCCCUGUCACCUCCAAACCAUGGCUUCCCCUGCAUCUCCUCCACGCGAUGCCGCCACUUCGCUGUUGCCACCAAUGCCUAGUUGAUGGCAGCUUUCCUCAUCUUCUUCUUCUCAGGCCGCAGCCUCCCUUGUGAUGUUGCCGCCCCACAGUCUCGACCGGCGCCGCGCUGGCCGCGGCAUCCCGCGCGAAUAAGAGGUCGACCGUUCUCUUCUUUGGAUCUAGGUAGAGAAUCGCGAGGGAGGCUGCAAUAGAAGUUGGAGAAUCGCGAGGGGCACAUCCUCACAUGUCAGUAGAGGCGUAGGCGUGGUGAAGAGGCACAUGGUGACAGUGUAGGUGGAGGAGUAAAGGGCCGCUGGAGACGGUAUCACGUCCAAUACAUCGGCGAACCGGCGUGCAGUGGCGCCAGGCUGGAGGUAGCUCACGGGGAUGUUCAACCUGAACAACCACUUCAUGUUCUUCCUGCGCCAUGGCGUAGUCAUCCUCGUCUCCAGCCCAGGUAUGGUAUCCAUCCAAGUCUACUAAUUUCUCUUCUUAAUCUUAUUUUCUGCUGAUAUAAGUAAUCAUGUCGAUUACUGCAGGCAAUUUAUUUUUGCACACAACUAAGCUUUUCAGUAGUACACAAGGAACACCAGGAAUAUAAAUAGUUUCAGGAAUUCCAUAUGUUGUAAGAUGCUUUGAAUAGUCAUUAUACUGUAGCUUCACUGAAUUGUAUAUCUGAACUUACAUUGCAUAAAUCAACUGCAAUAUGUUACAAAUUUUGUACAGUAUCAUAUUCAGGUUGAGUUCAGUUCAUAUUGGCCAUUCGAUGAGCUUUAGUCGGUCGUUCUCUUUUCUCCUAUAUUUUGAUGAUCUCAUAAUGAAGGAAAUCCCAGUUUUAGUUUGCGUCAUCUUAACCAAUUAGCCUCUAUUCAUUGUACUCGGACACAAAAUAAGUUCAAAGUAGGCUAUUCAUUGCCAUCUGCACAUAUUUUCAGUUGUAAUAUUUUUUGUAUUUGUGCAGUGUUGGAUGCUUACAUACAUUAUGUACACUUAUGCAGAAGAGAAGGGUCCCAUCACUCUAGGCUGGGUACAGCCUAAUAUUAUUAUGCCACAUUAUCCGGUCUGGAACAUGUCGUACAAGAUUAAACUUCGAAUUUUGCUUCAGUUUCAAAUUUUUCUAUAUGUCCGAAUUCCAAACAGAAUUUUAUAGGAAUUAUAAUAAAAACCUCUAUGAUAUCGCUUCGGCACUAAAUAACUUUUUGGCUCAGCUAAAUAACAUUUUCUCCUAACUCCCGCCUUUAUUUGUGCAGCUGAAUUCAUGUGGACAAGUGACAAAACAUUGAUUUUUGUGGCGAGAGUCAAAGUAAUCAUGUUGUGAACAAGGCCUUUCUUACAGUUAACUAUAAAUUCUGAACAUGUUGAUCCUCCAUUUGUGAAGAAGCUGUGACAAAAUUAGAGGUCAAAGGUUGUCCACGGAUGCAAUCGAUUGUUAUGUGUGUGAGUCCUAGCAGAUGACGUUGGAUUUGGCUCAAGCUAAUGUCUUAUUUUAGAACUCUCUUCGGGAGGAAGGGAGGAAGGGAGAACUUGCUUAAUUUGGAUCAACUCAGCGCAUGCAUGCAACGCACGAUGGAGAAAAACUGGGAGAGAGACCCCAACUGUAUCGUUGUAAAAAAAAUGUGUUAGCAUGUAAGAGUUCAGUGUCAUUCAGUUUUAUUAUGCAAAAACUGCAUAUAUCCAGUUUGCUCUGUUUGUUUUUACAGAGAGGUAAUUCUCUCCCGAAACUUUGUGUUAUCCAUGUGAAUUCCACUAGAUAUAUCCGGCUUGCUCAUAGUAGGACUUGUAGUAUAGCCAGAUCUAUUCACGCGAUUAAGUAUGUAUAGUAAAGUAGCUACUGAUUAUCAGUGUUGUUUAUUGCAGUCUUUGUGCAUGCAAAAAAUUAGAACAAUGACUAUGUUGCAUGCUGGCAUCCCUAUGUUUCUAUCCACAAGGCUAUAUAUGUCCUUUACCAUAAGAAAUAAAAUGAGUAAUAUGGGAUGAUCAUGAGGAGAAUGUACAUUCUGUAGCUAGCCGAGAACUAGCACAAAUGGAUAAUAAUACAUCAUUUGGUUGAAUUCUGGACUAUUUAAAGAUGAGGAGAUUGAGUAAUCACAUGCCUAUUGUUACUCUGUUGUUCAUAUUUAGAACUAGAGAGAGGGAAAGACGGAGUUGCUAGCUCAUACUACUUGAGACUAAAGGUCAUUAGGACUUAAAUUUUCUGUAUAGUACCACAUAUGAUGGCAUGUAGUUUUAGUAUAUACAUAUACUUGAGAUGUUUCUGGCUAAAGCUGGAGCUAUGAAUCUAAGCUUAGCCCUUAUUUUACUGCUUUAUUCCUUACUCUUUUUAGGGAACACUAAUAUAGCAUGAUCAUGAAUUCAUAAGCUUCCCACAUAGUGGAGUAUCCCUGGUCUUAUAACUUUCUGAGCUCCAUAAAGAGAAAUAGCAAAGUAUAGUGUUAACAAGGCAAAUUCAAAGCCAGAUUCAUAGGGUGAUUUGUGCUUUUUAUUUCUAAGCUGUGUUUUAUUUACAUGAAACAAUUCCCAGUCCCUUCACCCCAGCCGAGGCACCGGUUGAUGAGAAGCCUGAAACAAAUUCGAUUGCGUGCGUCACAUGUCCACCUUGAUUUAACGUGUGCCCUUCACAUGUAAGCAUUUCUUGUAGGAAACGACAAGAUCUCGGCAACUAUUCACUGAAUUUGGAAGAAAUGCACACACAACAAAGAAGCCAUUGUGAGCGCACAGAUAAGGAGCGGACAGAGAAGUAGCCAAGCACGAGAAACAUCAUCAACAUACUUUAUCUUCUUGUAUUUCUGGUGGCACUUAGGUGUGAAGAAAUGUACACGGUGAUUGCUAGGAAGGGAGUUGAGUGGGAGUAAGACAAAGGAAUUUGUGAACAAAUUUAAAUUUUGAAGGGAAAGACCUUUCAGUUCAAUACAUGGUGUGUGCAGUUCAUCUUUUGGGUCAAAUCUUUACUAUUAAAGGAGAAUCGAACGUUGUGAUGGUUCGACCUCCUACUAUCGCUAUUGAUACACCCCUUCCCACCUCCGAUUCUUUUCCUGUAGCGAUGCCCUCUCCCACUUCCGUUUUGAUUUGGUUCCACCCAGUUACCCACACACCCCUCCCACGAUCCUCCCGACGUUCCUCAUGAUCUUCCCAACGCAGCCUCCUCUUGGAGAGUCGCUCCUGGCGCAACGAGCGACACUGCUCCCUGGCACCUCCAAACCAUGGCUUCCCCUGCAUCUCCUCCACGCCACUUCGCUAUUGCCACCAAUGCCUAGUUAAUGGCAUCUUUCCUCAUCUUCUUCUUCUCGCGCCGCGAUGUUGCCGCCCCACAGUCUCGACCGGCGCCGCGCGGGCCGCGGCAUCCCGCGCGAAUAAGAGGUCGACCGUUCUCUUCUUUGGAUCUAGAAGAGAAUCGCGAGGGAGGCUGCAAUAGAAGUUGGAGAAUUGCGAGGGGCACAUCCUCACAUGUAAGUAGAGACGCAGGCGUGGCGAAGAGGCACAUGGUGACAAUGUAGAUGGAGGAGUAAAGGGCCGCUGGAGACGGGAUCAUGUCCUAUACAUCGGCGAACCGGCGUGCAGUGGCGCCAGGCUGGAGGUAGCUCACGGGGAUGUUCAACCUGAGCAACAGCUUCACGUUCUUCCUGCGCCAUGGCGUGGUCAUCCUCGUCUCCGGCCCAGCUGAAUUCAUGUGGACAAGUGACAAAGCAUUGAUUUUUGUGGAGAGAGUCAAAGUAAUCAUGUUGUGGACAAGGCCUUUCUUACAGUUAACUAUAAAUUCUGAACAUGUUGAUCCUCCAUUUGUGAAGAAGCUGUGACAAAAUUAGAAGUCAAAGGUUGUCCACGGAUGCUAGUAACUGAACCCAACUUGGCUUUGCUUUUUUAUACCUCUCUAUUCAGGGAUAGUUCGUGUACACAUCUUGAUUCUUAGUUCUUGUGUUUGUGAUUGACAGUCGAUUGUUAUGUGUGUGAGUCCUAGUAGAUGACGUUGGAUUUG